rnacentral:hammerhead_ribozyme from 1 species
AUCCAGAUGACGAGUCCCAAAUAGGACGAAACGCGUGUACUGGAU